GACCUCGUAGCUCAGCUGGUGGAGCAUGUGCAUUCAAAGCAUUGGCGGCGUCCAUGUGUGGCUUCGAAUCCCACCGAGGAUA
rnacentral:tRNA from 1 species